rnacentral:rRNA from 1 species
AGUGAACGCUGGCGGUAGGCCUAACACAUGCAAGUCGAACGGCAGCACAGUAAGAGCUUGCUCUUACGGGUGGCGAGUGGCGGACGGGUGAGGAAUACAUCGGAAUCUACUUUUUCGUGGGGGUUAACGUAGGGAAACUUACGCUAAUACCGCAUACGACCUACGGGUGAAAGCAGGGGAUCUUCGGACCUUGCGCGAUUGAAUGAGCGGAUGUCGGAUUAGCUAGUUGGCGGGGUAAAGGCCCACCAAGGCGACGAUCCGUAGCUGGUCUGAGAGAAUGGUCGGCCACACUGGAACUGAGACACGGUCCAGACUCCUACGGGAGGCAGCAGUGGGGAAUAUUGGACAAUGGGCGCAAGCCUGAUCCAGCCAUACCGCGUGGGUGAAGAAGGCCUUCGGGUUGUAAAGCCCUUUUGUUGGGAAAGAAAAGCAGCAGGUUAAUACCCCGCUGUUCUGACGGUACCCAAAGAAUAAGCACCGGCUAACUUCGUG